CAAAUGACUUGGAUGAGGGAAAGUAGGAUUCAGCUAUUUUUGACAGAGAGCUUCGGUUGCUGGAAAAGAAGCAAGAAUACGAAUCUGAACAAUGGCCUCGGAGUUUCGUGCUGAAUGAUGAGUAGGUUCCGACGAGAUUUGGUACUCGUUAUCAAUACCACAGUAUAAAUAAGUCUUAUGACUAACGUACUUGAUGAGGCUGUAUGUGUGAACAUACAGUAAAGUAAGGUGGUACCACGUUAAACCAACCACGUCCUUACC
rnacentral:ncRNA from 1 species